UCUUCUGUUUGCAGAAAUAAGCAUAUAACGAACACAGUAACCAUCGACUUGCAUGGCCAACAUGUCCAACAUGCUAUGAACCUUCUCAAAAUUCACAUGAUGAUUUGUAUUUGCAUUCCAUCUGUCUUACUCAGGGUAAUUACCGGUUGUGGUUCAGAAGGUACAGGGAAGGGAAAAAUAAAGCGCUCGGUUAUAGAGCUUGCGGAGAAGGAACAUAUUGAGUGGCGCGAAGAGAACUCUGGAACUGUAGCCCUUCGACUUGGUGGGCCAAGAGAGUAUCGGUUCCUUGAGCAUGAAAGCGAUUCUGACCAAGUGGGGAACUUUAACAUAGAUUAACUUUUGAUCUAAUCUAUGUAUUCCCGUAUUGAUGUGUUAUAGCUAUGGAUGCUGCCUAGGUUGCGGUGUAGGCUGUAGUUCUGACACAGAAGCUCGGUAUUGUAGUUGUGUAAAUUAUGGUGUGAUGUUGACCCCAGGCUGCUAACUGUGCAAUCACAGAAGCUCUGACUGUACAACCGUAGCCCUUCUGUGAACAAUGCAACACAGGAACCGUAAUCGUGAGUUGAAGAAUAUCAUACUAUGGCCGAUUGUCACGGGAACCAAUUUUGGCCUGUACCAACUGGAACUUACGAUUUGUAUGAAAAUAUAUUUAACACUUAGUCCACAAAUAUUACUUAUCA